rnacentral:rRNA from 1 species
GGGGCAUCGAGUGAGGUCUCUGGGUCACCUCCCACCCGUGUUUAUUUUACCUUGUUGCUUCGGCGGGCCCGCCUUAACUGGCCGCCGGGGGGCUUACGCCCCCGGGCCCGCGCCCGCCGAAGACACCCUCGAACUCUGUCUGAAGAUUGUAGUCUGAGUGAAAAUAUAAAUUAUUUAAAACUUUCAACAACGGAUCUCUUGGUUCCGGCAUCGAUGAAGAACGCAGCGAAAUGCGAUACGUAAUGUGAAUUGCAAAUUCAGUGAAUCAUCGAGUCUUUGAACGCACAUUGCGCCCCCUGGUAUUCCGGGGGGCAUGCCUGUCCGAGCGUCAUUGCUGCCCUCAAGCACGGCUUGUGUGUUGGGCCCCGUCCUCCGAUCCCGGGGGACGGGCCCGAAAGGCAGCGGCGGCACCGCGUCCGGUCCUCGAGCGUAUGGGGCUUUGUCACCCGCUCUGUAGGCCCGGCCGGCGCUUGCCGAUCAACCCAAAUUUUUAUCCAGGUUGACCUCGGAUCAGGUAGGGAUACCCGCUGAACUUAAGCAUAUCAAAAGGCGGGAGGAA